GACGAACGCUGGCGGCGUGCUUAACACAUGCAAGUCGAACGGUAAGGCCCUUCGGGGUACACGAGUGGCGAACGGGUGAGUAACACGCGGGUGAUCUGCCCUGCACUUCGGGAUAAGCCGGGGAAACUGGGUCUAAUACCGGAUAGGACCACUGCCUGCAUGGGUGGUGGUGGAAAGCUUUUGCGGUGUGGGAUGGGCCCGCGGCCUAUCAGCUUGUUGGUGGGGUGAUGGCCUACCAAGGCGACGACGGGUGGCCGGCCUGAGAGGGUGACCGGCCACACUGGGACUGAGAUACGGCCCAGACUCCUACGGGAGGCAGCAGUGGGGAAUAUUGCACAAUGGGCGCAAGCCUGAUGCAGCGACGCCGCGUGAGGGAUGACGGCCUUCGGGUUGUAAACCUCUUUCAGCACCGACGAAGCGCAAGUGACGGUAGGUGCAGAAGAAGGACCGGCCAACUACGAGCCAGCCGCCGCAGUAACAC
rnacentral:rRNA from 1 species